AACGUAGGAGACAAACGUUAUCCGGAGUUACUGGGCGUAAAGGGCGUGUAGGCGGUCUGUUAAGUCUGGCGUGAAAGCUCUCGGCUAAACCGGGAGAGGUCGUUGGAUACUGGCAGACUAGAGGACGGUAGAGGCGUGUGGAAUUCCGGGUGUAGUGGUGAAAUGCGUAGAGAUCCGGAGGAACACCAGUGGCGAAGGCGACACGCUGGGCCGUACCUGACGCUAAGGAGCGAAAGCGUGGGGAGCGAACAGG
rnacentral:rRNA from 1 species